rnacentral:rRNA from 1 species
GACGAACGCUGGCGGCGUGCCUAAUACAUGCAAGUCGAGCGAAUGGAUUAAGAGCUUGCUCUUAUGAAGUUAGCGGCGGACGGGUGAGUAACACGUGGGUAACCUGCCCAUAAGACUGGGAUAACUCCGGGAAACCGGGGCUAAUACCGGAUAACAUUUUGAACCGCAUGGUUCGAAAUUGAAAGGCGGCUUCGGCUGUCACUUAUGUAUGGACCCGCGUCGCAUUAGCUAGUUGGUGAGGUAACGGCUCACCAAGGCAACGAUGCGUAGCCGGCCUGAGAGGGGGAUCGGCCACACUGGGACUGAGACACGGCCCAGACUCCUACGGGAGGCAGCAGUAGGGAAUAUUCCGCAAUGGGCGAAAGUCUGACGGGGCAACGCCGCGUGAGUGAUGAAGGCUUUCGGGUCGUAAAACUCUGUUGUUAGGGAAGAACAAGUGCUAGUUGAAUAAGCUGACACCUUGACGGUACCUAACCAGAAAGCCACGGCUAACUACGUGCCAGCCGCCGCAGUAA